rnacentral:tRNA from 1 species
AUCCUCAAGGUGUAAUUUAGGCACGUUGGUCUUUCGUUCCAAAGGAAUAGUUUUUUACUAUUGCGGAUU